rnacentral:tRNA from 1 species
CAGGGAGACAACAAAAUGUUAAAUAUUAAUUUUGUCACCUUAGGUCGAUCGGUAUCUCACAUUCUUAAUUUAUUAAGGAUUUUAUUUCCUAAGUUUUUUCUAGGUCACACCCAUUACUUUUCCUGGGCCAUUAGCUCAGGUGGUUAGAGCGCACCCCUGAUAAGGGUGAGGUCCCUGGUUCAAGUCCAGGAUGGCCCAUAUCUCUAUGUUGGGGGUAUAGCUCAGUUGGUAGAGCGCCUGCUUUGCAAGCAGGAUGUCAGCGGUUCGAGUCCGCUUACCUCCACUGAUUACCACCUCUUCCAUAAUUUUAAGAAGGGAUUGUUUUUGAGGCGUGAUCAAAUUCUGAACGAAUCUAGCUUCUUAAUUAUCUUAAUUAAGAUGCUGGACUCAUUGAAUUAAUUUUCAUUGGUUUCAGAGAACCUUGACAACUGCAUAGAUUUUUUUAAAGACAAUUAGCAUCUUAAAUGAUGCAGAUUUAUUAUUUGUGCGAAUGCAUUAAUAACAAUUCUAUUAAGCUGAUGCUUCAAUUCUUGAAGUUAUU